rnacentral:rRNA from 1 species
UACAGAGGUCUCAAGCGUUGUUCGGAAUUACUGGGCGUAAAGGGCUCGUAGGCGGCCAACUAAGUCGGAUGUGAAAUCCCCAGGCUUAACCUGGGAACUGCAUCCGAUACUGGAUGGCUUGAAUUCGGGAGAGGGAUGCAGAAUUCCAGGUGUAGCGGUGAAAUGCGUAGAUAUCUGGAGGAAUACCGGUGGCGAAGGCGGCAUCCUGGACCAUUUCUGACGCUGAGGCGCGAAAGCUAGGGGAGCAAACGGG